UUUUAAAGAAGAGGAGCAUAGUUUAUAGAACUAAUCUGAAGGUCAUAACACUUUAAGAUGGUUAGUAUUCUAGAGAUUAUGCCGAAAGAGUACACAAGUUAUGAGUUGUAUUCUUGGGUCUGAUGCUGAAAGGCAGCAGAACUGUCACGUUAAACUUAGACGUGGGGUGCUUCGAUCUUG
rnacentral:ncRNA from 2 species